UGGGGAAUAUUGGACAAUGGGCGCAAGCCUGAUCCAGCCAUGCCGCGUGAGUGAUGAAGGCCCUAGGGUUGUAAAGCUCUUUCACCGGUGAAGAUAAUGACGGUAACCGGAGAAGAAGCCCCGGCUAACUUCGUGCCAGCAGCCGCGGUAAUACGGAGGGGGCUAGCGUUGUUCGGAUUUACUGGGCGUAAAGCGCACGUAGGCGGACUUUUAAGUCAGGGGUGAAAUCCCGGGGCUCAACCCCGGAACUGCCUUUGAUACUGGAAGUCUUGAGUAUGGUAGAGGUGAGUGGAAUUCCGAGUGGAGAGGUGAAAUUCGUAGAUAUUCGGGGGAACACCAGUGGCGAAGGCGGCUCACUGGACCAUUACUGACGCUGAGGUGCGAAAGCGUGGGGAGCAAACAGG
rnacentral:rRNA from 1 species